UCCUGGGCUGAGUGCAAUAGCUCCUGGGGAACAUGUUAGCGCCUCCCCCGCCUCCUCCUUCCUCGCGGGCCCCUGUCCUCACGGCUUCACCAGAGGCUGCCGCAGUCUGUGAGGACUCCCGGGACAUUCCAGGGUGCAAGAGGGGCCUCAGUAAGGUCCAGCGAGGCACCCCAUAUGCCACUUCUCAUUCAUUUCCCGGUGUGUGUCGGGUGGGGGCCGACUCCCGCUCUCUCAAGUUGCAUGAGUACCGUCGCGCUGUUGCCACACCUCCGCCACCCACCCGCUUUUUAACUUUCCCAGGCUCUUCCAGCCGUUGUAUUUAGAGGAGUGUGGCGUCGCACAGGAGGAUGGGCCUGCUGGGAGGAUACCUUUGAGAGGUGAAGGACUGCUGGCUAGUUUUGAGUUGCGUGGAUCCUGUUGCCCUCCCAUAGUCAUUGAUAUUGCAAGAAUGCAACGACCUAGCAAAGACGACCACCAGAUUUGUGAAUGACAAAGUUGACGUGGGUGGCACCAGAUGGCGCGUGAGUCCGGGGGCGGCAGCCGGCACACCCGCCCGUCCCCACCCACACUGCCGCCUCCGCCCACACCUCUCGUAGGGGUGUGUGUUGAUGUUAGCGGGCGUGAUGGGACGUAUAGAAGCGGGGGCACCAAAAGGGAGUGAGGAAGGUGGGUGUGGGGAGGUCGGGGUGGUCUGGCAGCGCGGGAGGGAGGGAUGGAGGGAGGAGGGACGAGGCCGGGCUCUUGUCCCCCUCACCGCCGCCGCCAGACCUGCAGGUGACACCGCCGCGCGCACAUCCACGCCGCCUCUCGCUGCCUUCUCCGCUCGGCCCCUCCACCCUUUCAGCAGGCCAGAGGGGCCCCGGCACAAGGGCCGUCGACAGGAACCAGUGUUGUGCUGGGGAGGGGGCGGGAUGGGGCGCGGUGGGGCGAUCGAGAGGGAGGCGCCCCAUCCCGCGAUGGUGAUUCAGCACAGACGGAGGUGGAGCUUUAAAGGACCCGCCGGGGAGUGACCUUGGUGUGUGGCGCCCCGGCAGCCUGUACCGCGGUAGUGUGUGGGGCCCGCCGCCUCCCGGGGCUGUGGUGAUAGUGCGUGGAAUGUCUAACCCAGUCUGGCCCCACGGUGGUGCAACAAGAUGUCUCCUUGCGGGGCACUCGCCGGGGCACUCGUGGGGCGAGCCGAGUUCCCUCACCCCAAGGGGCCAAAAGGAGGCCCUUCCCGCCGGGCAUCGACGUGCUGUCCCCUCCACAUGUUUACAGUGAGGGCGGAAGUUUGGGGCGUGUGUUGGAGUUGGUGGUGGUGGUGAUUUUGCUGUGGAUGGUGGUGGCAGUAGUGAACCCGGUGGUGGUGGGAAGAAGCACAGCUGUUGGCACCCUCCCAUCUCCCUCACACCCGGCCCACAUGACUCAUCUUACCCUCGCCCACACUCCCAGUAACAUCCACCCACUGCAAAACCACCCCGCCCACUCUCAGUAACGUCCCAGCUCACAGCAACACCCUAUCCACAUCCUCAGCAAUUACACCACCGCAAGCAACACCCUCCCUCCCACAUACCCAUCCCUCCAGCCACCACCCUCGUAGUGACACCCACUGACUGCUACACCCGCCCACCCCCAGCAACACUCUCCCACCCACCCUCGGCAACACCCACCCAUUCUUCCACAUGGAUUCACGCUUCAGCUGUUGUUGGCCGGAUGUUUAACUGAUAUCCACUUGUCCACACCACCCACCGUCAGUCAAUCCACAGCACACCCUCCACUCCCGUCACCUCCGUCACACUCCACAUUUCGCCCUCCGUGAUAAAACCUACUACACAACCCCUCUUGCACCCCUCUCCCCUUCCUCCUCUCCUCCUCGUACUCCUCCUUCUCCCCUCCUCCUCUGCCACUCUACAUCCACCACCACCACCACCACCACCACCACCACACUCGUCGUACAGUUUUGCCCACCCACCACACACACUCAACCUCCGAGACCUCUCCCCUUCUCCUCCUCCUCCUUCUCCCCCCACACCCAUAUUUCUACAGUCACAUUCCUCUCUCUCUCUCUCUCUCUCUCUCUCUCUCUCUCUCUCUCUCUCUCUCUCUCUCUCUCUCUCCCGCCCACCACCACCACAUAGAUUCCUUCCAGCCAUCAUACAACGCCCGCCGCCCAUAUUCCACUCGAGCCCUUCCUUCCUUCCUCCCUUCAGGCCGCCCUCCACCCUUCCUCCUCCACCCACGACUUGGCCCCAAAAGACCACCAACAACACUUACUCACACACACCCUCUACUAUUCUCUGCACACACACACACACACACACACACACACACACACACACACGACAGCCCUCCUUCAUUCCCACUACAGUGCCGGCAGCGAUAACCUCCUGAUCCUUCCUCCCUGACGAUAAGUUCUCUUCAUGAAUUGCCUCAUGCAUACAAUCCACUGGUGGCCGCAAAUGACGGACUCAAGUAAACAUGUAUUUCUACACCCACGUUCUGUUUUAGACCCUUUUCCGUGUCUGUAGCCUUGUCUGCGCCCCUCCCUUUACCUCUGUUCACGCCUUUCCCAAGUGGUCACGCCCCUGCCCCCGCCCCCUCCCUGCCCCUGACCCAUGGGCACAAACAUGGGCAGCAAGGUCGUGUGAAGGAGGGUGUGGAGAUCAGCCUCCCGCCGGCGCCAGGGGAAGGGCGUGUUGGUGCCAAGUGCCGGUGCCUUAUAUUGCCAGCACUGCUACCACCACCGCAGCCACCGUCACUACUACCACUACAGCGAUUAUCAAUAUCUAAACUACCGCCAUCACUGUAUUAUUUCUGUUAGCGUUGACCCUCGCCAUCACUGCCCCCACUGGUGUCACUCGAGUUAUCAUCACUGUUCCUCAUGUCAUCACUGUCCCUACCACUGUUCUCAUUGUUACGUACCGCUGCUACUGUUACCUAUACCAAUGGCACCUCUACAAUCACCAUGUCUGCUACUGCUACUUCUAAAAUUAAAAUUUGCACGCAUUAUCAUCGACAACAUCUACAGCUACUAUUACAACGACCUCCCUCACAAUUUGUAUACACACCACUAUCUACACCAAAUCAUCACUGUGGUCAGGCUGUUGUAUACACCACCACCACCACUAUCACCACACAUCUUUCAUCUCACUACUGCCACCACUAUCACCACCACUUCCUCCUCCUUCACCAACACUACCACCAUCACCAUCACCAUCAUCACCACCAGCUGCACCACUGCCUGCUUUUUCCACAGCGUCAGCACAGACACAGUAACCACCCCCUUUCCACCAUCACCAAGGCACCACCACAACCACUACCACAACGACAAGCAUCCUUACACUACCAUCACAUCGCAGAGAGAGAGAGAGAGAGAGAGAGAGAGAGAGAGAGAUGAUUUUCACAGUAAUUAGCACCAUAAGCUAAAAAAAAAAGAUGUCCGGUAUUUAUUUAAGGAUGUGAAAAUAGUACACACUCGUCUAUUAUAUUCACUGGCGGGAGUCAUGUAAGGCCUCACUGAAUCGCCGCGCCGUGUCCCUGGGAAUGCGGUAGGCGGGCCGUGCUAUACGCAGAGUACUCUUGAAGUGUACUGGGGAGUGAUGCGACGGCGACCCAAACGAAGGAAGCAAGCAGAAAGAAAACAGGUGAUGUGCCGGGACUCCUUAUGGCAAUGACACGGAAACUCGCUAUUGUUAACUCCGUCACUUAUUGUAUUGGUUUGAAGUACCCUAUAACGACUCAAUUAGAGGAAGCGAUCAGACAAUGCAAGGCGGAUCUCAUCAAAGAACACGUAAUAAAAGUGCUUAAGAAAACGGGAAGAGCCGCUGCAAUGAAGCAAGAAGGAAGGAAGGAGGAACACUGACGGACGCGGAAGGGAAGGAAGGAAGGAAGGAAGGCGUCGGGACGAGGCAGGGGAGCGCACCGACCAGAGACACCUUCCCAAGUCACUCUGCCUCCUCCCUGCACGACCUUCCUCCACCGGCACCACCCACGCCGCCACAGUGCCGCCGCCGCCACACCACGGUAACAUCUCUUUACGCGGAAAAAGUGGUCCAUGUCUUCCUGAUACGAGGAUCAUCCCUCCCCAAGACGCCGCCCCGCAGCUGAGUUGGUGAAGUUGUUGCCUCCAGCAGGUGACAGCAGCCAGGCGGCGACGCAGGUGCACAAUGUUGAAAGUGAGCCAAUUACGAAGUGGUAGUAGUAGUAGUAGUUGUAGUAGUAGUAGUAGUAGUAGUAGUAGUAGUAGUAGUAGUAGUAAUGAUGAUAGUAGUAGUAGUAUUAAGAAUAACAUUAUUAGAAGUACUCAUAUUAGUGGGAGGAACCGCAGUUUUGGUAGUAGUCGUAGUAAUAACAAUAGUAGUAGCAGUAGUAGUAGAAGUAGCAGCAGCAGUAGUAGUAGUAGUAGUAGUAGUAGUAGUAGUAGUAGUAGUAGUAGUAGUAGUAGUAGUAGUAGUAGUAGUAGUAGUAGUAGUAGUAGUAGUAGUAGGGGCAAUAAUUAUAGUUUUUAUAGUCUUUUUUGUGGGGAUUGCAUGAUAAAUAAACAAACACAUUUUAACAUUAUAGCUUUUUUUUCUCUAUUUUAUGUGUGACAUUGACAGAGUACCAGAGCAAUGAACUUGAUUUAAUAACAUGAAGCAAGAAGAAGAAACUAGAAAGAAAAACAUUCAUUUUAACUUUU